AAUAAAAAUUAACUGCUCGGUGAC
rnacentral:siRNA from 1 species